rfam:Providencia burhodogranariea DSM 19968 genomic scaffold scaffold00001, whole genome shotgun sequence.
AACCGCCGUAUACGGAACCGUACGUACGGUGGUGUGAGAGGACGACGGGAGUGAUCCCGUCUCCUACUCGAU